rnacentral:rRNA from 1 species
GAUGAACGCUGGCGGCGUGCCUAAUACAUGCAAGUCGAGCGAACGGACGAGAAGCUUGCUUCUCUGAUGUUAGCGGCGGACGGGUGAGUAACACGUGGAUAACCUACCUAUAAGACUGGGAUAACUUCGGGAAACCGGAGCUAAUACCGGAUAAUAUUUUGAACCGCAUGGUUCAAAAGUGAAAGACGGUCUUGCUGUCACUUAUAGAUGGAUCCGCGCUGCAUUAGCUAGUUGGUAAGGUAACGGCUUACCAAGGCAACGAUGCAUAGCCGACCUGAGAGGGUGAUCAGCCACACUGGAACUGAGACACGGUCCAGACUCCUACGGGAGGCAGCAGUAGGGAAUCUUCCGCAAUGGGCGAAAGCCUGACGGAGCCACGCCGCGUGAGUGAUGAAGGUCUUCGGAUCGUAAAACUCUGUUAUUAGGGAAGAACAUAUGUGUAAGUAACUGUGCACAUCUUGACGGUACCUAAUCAGAAAGCCACGGCUAACUACGUG